UGAGUUUCUUUUUUCGGCUCCAGUGAGAACGCCAACUUGUUCCAUACAGUAGUCUCUAUGAACUACUAGUCCAACAUACUCUAAUCCCCUUAAUUUCAGUGACAAUUUUCAAUCCCUAAUCGAUCUUCCAUGGACCCCCUCACACUCCUCCGUGAGUACACCAUACGCAACGACCUCCACAAGAUUGUUCGCAUCGGCGACGACUACCGAUUCGGCAAUGACUACACUUUCCCUUGCACAAUCGAAACCGCUUAUCGCUCCAAACAUGUUCAAGCUAAUCGGUACACUCUCGAAACCCUAAUCAACUUCAUCACCAAUCACCACCUUAAACACACUGAAUACAUUCAGCAAUCUCGUUCUCUUCGUAUUCCGGCGGUUACCCUACCUGACCGUAAACCCCUUCUCGAUUAUCUCACCGGAAAGACUGCAUCUUCAGAUUCUAUUGAAUUCCUCAAAUUCCCUCAGUCGAAUGAUACUUCAGUUCCUGUUUCUGUUUCAGCUGGUGUUACGGGCAAUGAGGAGAAUGUGAUGAGUGAUGUUAGGGUUUUGGAAAAUCAAAACCCUAUUGAGCUGAUUAAAGCUGCUGAGAAGCCUUUGAAGGAUAGAGAGGCGAUUUUGUUUUGUAAGAACCGGGAUUUCUAUAGUGUUUUUACGGCUGCGUUGCGUAGAGAUGAGGAGCGGCACCGGGCGGAAUCCUUGCAGAGAAAAGAUGGGUUGGUUGCUAAGAAUCGGAUAGAUAGGGGGUAUGGAGGUGGUGAUGAAAUAGGAUAUGAUGGAGGGCCCAAGGCGAAAAUGCAUUUGAAGGGGAGUAAGAUAGGGGAGGGUGUUCCCAUUAUUUUGGUUCCCAGUGCCUUUUCGACUUUGAUCACCAUCUAUAAUGUGAAGGACUUUUUGGAGGAUGGGGUGUUUAUACCAACUGAUGUGAAACUGAAGCAGAUGAAGGGGUCAAAACCGGACUGUAUAACAGUACAAAAGAAGUUUAGUAGGGAUAGGGUAGUUACAGCAUAUGAGGUUAGAGAUAAGCCUUCUGCCUUGAAGCCGGAAGAUUGGGACCGUGUGGUGGCAGUUUUUGUGUUGGGGAAAGACUGGCAGUUCAAAGAUUGGCCUUUUAAGGAUCAUGUUGAGACCUUUAACAGGGUUGUAGGAUUUUUUUUGCGUUUUGAGGAUGACAGUGUGGAGUCAGCGAAGACCGUGAAGCAAUGGAAUGUCAAGAUUAUCUCGAUUAGUAAGAACAAACGCCACCAGGACAGAGCUGCAGCACUUGAGGUGUGGGAGAAACUUGAAGAAUUUAUGCGGUCACGGUCUCAUUGAUUCAUGCUGAGUCUCUAGGUGAAACUAGAUGACAAUAUCUUACAAAACUGGACAGCUAAGAGGCUCGACAAAAUCCAAAUGUACCCUGAUAAGCUUGUCAAUGUCAUCAAUAGAUAGAAAUACAGCGCCCCUAAGAUGAAUUUCGUCCUUUUAUAGGUUCUACAAGGUCUUCUAUUGUGGCAUACCACUUGUUUAGAGAUUGUGAAUUCUAUGUAAAUCCUUUCUUAGCAAACUAGCAAUAGUGAUUGACGAAGUACGAUACAAUGGCCAAUCAGGCUUCGGUGGAAAACUGACUGCUGAAAUGAGCAAAUGCUAUGAAAAGUAAUAGUACAUUUUCAUGACAGAGCAAACUAGCUAGUCAAAAUACAAUGGACUGUUAGGUGAUGUUGAUUAUUGAAGCAUAAGAAGCAAUCAAGAGAAAGAAAAAGGAAAAAGGAGCA